rnacentral:rRNA from 1 species
GAUGAACGCUGGCGGCGUGCCUAAUACAUGCAAGUCGAGCGAACAGACGAGGAGCUUGCUCCUCUGACGUUAGCGGAGGACGGGUGAGUAACACGUGGAUAACCUACCUAUAAGACUGGGAUAACUUCGGGAAACCGGAGCUAAUACCGGAUAAUAUAUUGCACCGCAUGGUUCAAUAGUGAAAGACGGUUUUGCGGUCACUUAUAGCUGGAUACGGGCCGCAUUAGCUAGUUGGUAAGGUAACGGCUUACCACGGCAACGAUGCGUAGCCGAACUGAGAGGGGGGUCGGCGACACUGGAGCGUGGACGCGGUCCAGGCUCCUGCGGGAGGCAGCAGUAGCGAAUCGUCCGCAGCAGGCGAGAACCUUGCGGAGCAAGCCGGCGUGAGUUGUGGAAGUCUUGCGAUCGUAAAACUCUGUUAUGAGUGAAAAACAGAUGUGGAAGUAACUGAGCACGGCGUGACGGUAACGAGUCAGAAAGCCACGGCUAACUACGUG